rnacentral:rRNA from 1 species
ACGUUAGCGGCGGACGGGUGAGUAACACGUGGGUAACCUACCUAUAAGACUGGGAUAACUUCGGGAAACCGGAGCUAAUACCGGAUAAUAUUUCGAACCGCAUGGUUCGAUAGUGAAAGANGGUUUUGCUAUCACUUAUAGAUGGACCCGCGCCGUAUUAGCUAGUUGGUAAGGUAACGGCUUACCAAGGCGACGAUACGUAGCCGACCUGAGAGGGUGAUCGGCCACACUGGAACUGAGACACGGUCCAGACUCCCUACGGGAGGGCAGCAGCC